UACGUAGGGUCCGAGCGUUGUCCGGAAUUACUGGGCGUAAAGGGCUCGUAGGCGGCCAACUAAGUCAGACGUGAAAUCCCUCGGCUUAACCGGGGAACUGCAUCUGAUACUGGAUGGCUUGAGUUCGGGAGAGGGAUGCGGAAUUCCAGGUGUAGCGGUGAAAUGCGUAGAUAUCUGGAGGAACACCGGUGGCGAAGGCGGCAUCCUGGACCGACACUGACGCUGAGGAGCGAAAGCCAGGGGAGCAAACGGG
rnacentral:rRNA from 1 species